ensembl:lncRNA
GGGGGUUUUCCACCUCCCCGCACAGCCAACGCGGUCAUUCGGCGCACCAAGCAAGGGCAUCUGCCUUUCGAAUUCUGUACCAUGUACAAACUGUACACAAGUAACUUUUUCUUGUUUUGCUUUUUAGGGCCGCACCCGCGGCACAUGGAGGUUCCCAGGCCAGGGGUCGAAUCAGAGCUACAGCUGCUGGCCACAGUCACAGCCAUAGCCACAUCAGAUCCAAGCUGCGUCUGUGACCUACACCGCGGCUCACGGCAACACCGGAUCCUUAAUCCACCGAGUGGGGGCAGGGAUCGAACCUGUGUCCUCAUGGAUACUAGUUGGCCUUGUUACCGCUGAGCCGCAGUGGAAACUCUGGACAAGUAACUGCUUCAAAGAGACUUUCUUCUUAGGAUCUCACCUUUGCUGCAAAGAAAAACCCAAACAGGCUUUGUGAUUUUAGCCUGUUGUCCCCCCUCCCAGCAGCCUCUCAAGGGUUUAUUUUUGAGAUUCAUUUUUCCCCGAGUAGGAAUCAUGCCUUAGAAAACAAGUCAUUAUCAUGCGUUUGUGUUUUAAAUGACCUGGUUUCUCACUCUGCUCCGUUUAUAAUAUCUUCCGUUCAUUCAUUCCACAAACAGAUGCUCUCCGCCAUCUACAGACAGAGAAUCCUGUUGUGCUGGAGCCAGAAGGGCCGGCUUCGUGGGAGAGCUGGAAACGGACCUGGAACCUCAAGGUUGGGAGAGGGGGAACUCGGGUGAGGACCAAGGGCAGGGCAGGUAGAAAGUGGGCCCGGAAAUUAACACGCCCCUCCGGUCAAUCAACAAGCACUUCCACGUGGUUCAGGCCCCCUGCUCGGCUCUGGCCUGGAGCCGCAAGCAGGUACAGGUGAUUCCAAUAGCGUGAGCGUGGGAGAAACGCAGGCGUCUAAGGGAAGGGCUCUGGCUCGGAGACGAGGCAGGGCUGCCAGGAAGAGAGUGACAUUGCAGCCGAGACGGGAAGAAGGUGUGGGUGAUGGCUUCAAGCAAAGGGAAUGUCCGUUUUGACAUCCCCACGUCAAGGGAGGGGCUGCAGGAACGUCCAUCCCUUUCCCAGCUCCCCCCAGGCCCGCAGGAGGAAGCCUCAGCUGGGAGCCAGCCCAACACCUCUGACACCGGCCGCCCUGCCUUUGGGCGAAGAGGGAGCCGGCCUCGGGCGCGGAGGCUUCCGCAGGCGCCGGUGUCCAGCUGGGAUUUGCUCACACGUCCUUGCACUGGUGUUUAUGGCAGCCCUCCGUUGACGGCUGAACCUUCCCCACUUUGCUGUCAACCUGGAUUCUGCUGCUACAGCCCUGGGAUGUUCAGGCAAGUCAGUUUGCUUCUCUGAACUUUGUUUUCUCGUCUGUAAAAUGGAGCUAAUAAUAGAACCUCCAUCAGGGGCUGUUGUAAGGAUGAAAAGAGUCCUCAGAAAAGUGGCUGCCACAUACUCCGAAGCUCAGGACACAUCAGCUUUGUUUUCGAUUCCAAGAAUCUGAAAGCACGGGAAAUCAUUCUGAGGGGAAAAUGUGAUUUACAGUCUCUAGGAAAGAAAAUAUACACAAUAAUGAGACAGGUUCCAAGAGACAUGUGUUGUCAUCUGUGAGUGGAGCUUUUCCUGCCUACACAGUCUCGGUAACUUCCUUAAAGAUACGUGCUCUCUUUGUAACCCUUAAGCUCCCACACGUUGGAGGCUUUCUUUUCCUUUCUCUUCUUCUUCUUCUUCUUCUUUUUUUUUUUUUUGCCACACCCAAACAUGCAGAAGUUCCCCAGGGCCCAGGGAUUGAACCCUGCACAGCGGUGACCACACGGAGUUCUUAACUGCUAGGCUGCCAGGGAACUCCCAGAGGCUUUCUUAAGUCAAGCGUGAGUGACUUCUGCUUCUCUUCCAUGCGCAAGAGAUUCCUUAAAAUCUAACACCUUUAGCCCCAUUAAAAAAAAAAAAAACUCAAUAAAUUAAAAGUGAACCACA